AGAGUUUGAUCCUGGCUCAGGAUGAACGCUAGCGGCAGGCUUAAUACAUGCAAGUCGAGGGGUAGCAGGGUAGCAAUACCGCUGACGACCGGCAAACGGGUGCGGAACACGUACACAACCUUCCUUUUAGUGGGGAAUAGCCCAGAGAAAUUUGGAUUAAUACCCCGUAAGAUAUUAGAACGGCAUCGUUUAGAUAUUAUAGGUUUACCGCUAAGAGAUGGGUGUGCGGCUGAUUAGGUAGUUGGCGGAGUAACAGCCCACCAAGCCAACGAUCAGUAGCUGAUGUGAGAGCAUGAUCAGCCACACGGGCACUGAGACACGAGCCCGACUCCUACGGGAGGCAGCAGUAAGGAAUAUUGGACAAUGGACGCAAGUCUGAUCCAGCCAUGCCGCGUGAAGGAUUAAGGCCCUCUGGGUUGUAAACUUCUUUUAUAGGGGACGAAAAAAGGGCUUUCUAGCUCGUCUGACGGUACCCUAUGAAUAAGCACCGGCUAACUCCGUGCCAGCAGCCGCGGUAAUACGGAGGGUGCAAGCGUUAUCCGGAUUCACUGGGUUUAAAGGGUGCGUA
rnacentral:rRNA from 1 species